GCACUUUGGGCCUGAUCCAAAGCCCAUUGAAAUCAAUGGCAGUCUUUCCACUAACUUCAAUGGGCUUUGGAUCAGGUCUUUUAUC
rnacentral:pre_miRNA from 1 species